ensembl:lncRNA
GAAGGGGUGGAGCCUGGCUGCACCUCCCUUAGACCCAAUUUAAGGGCUGACUGCCACUGGGGAAGGAUCUCUGGUUGGAGAUCUCUCCUUUGUGGAGUUUCUAUUGCAAAGCCUAGAUCUUCAGAGAUGGGAUGGAGAUGAACACCACCCAACCCGAAACGCCCCGAGCUCCCGAUCGGAGCGAUGCAUCGCGGCGGAGGUAGCAGCCAAUGGAAGAGGAGCUGCCUGGUUAUCAUCGUUAGUAUUGAGAAGCGUCAUGCACUGCUCGGGAAGACUUUUUGGGAGCGGGCAGAGACAUCGCUCCCCUCCGAACGAGUUGUCUGCUAGAGCCGGAUUUUGGCAAACGGCGCCAGGUUUCCCUGGUUCAAUUUGCACACGGGAUGACAAAUGAAUAUCAUAGUAUAUAUUCCGCACACACACCCCUCUCUCCCCCCCCCCCUCCUUCCCCUCCCCAUCCUCGAAGUACCCGAGAAUAAGCAAUGAAAACAAAGGUAGUUUUGUAUUUUAAACGGAGGAGGGGAAAAACACGAUACACGAGGGCUGUUCCCACGGGUGGGUGGGAGUGGAAAAGCAGUUCCCAUUCGCGUCGCCCGCACAUACCAUCCCUGCUCCCUCCCCGUCGGGGCCACGCGUGGCACGGAGCUGCCCGAAGGGAUAACGUUGGGGGCACUCCAAAGGGGAUGUGGGGGGAAAUCCCGGGGGAAAGUGGCCUCCUGCAACCCCUUUUUUUUCUGUCGCGGGUCCUCGAGGGAGGCUGCUGGGAUGCUGGGGGAGAAGUUCGUGGGACCUCACCUAGAGAAGGGGUUGGAGGGGUUUCCCCAUGGGUUUUCCCCGUGCCGGGGGUUAAGAGAGGGGGGAGCGCGACCCGCACAGCCCCCGCUUUGGGGGAAUGGGGCUGAGAAAUUUCCAACACAUUUCUAAACGCAACGAAAAAAGCCGCUGGGACGGCGCCGGUGGCGGCAGCCGCAAAGUCUCCGACCCCGCCGGCCUCGUCCAGGUGAGCGGACUCUAAACCGUGCCCCCAUCCUCCUCCUCCUCUUCCUCCUCCUCUUCCUCCUCCUCCCCGGCCCCGCACGCACACGGGGAAAUGAAAGUCAUUUGUUGAGAGCGGAAAGGAGAGAGAGAAAAAAAAAAAAAAGCAGGAAAUAACUGAGGGUGGUUGACGAUAUUGUUAUCAUUAUCGUUGUUGUUAUUCUUAUUACUACUCCGGGGGUAGCGAACGACCGCCAAUGGCAGCGCGGGGCCGCUCCGGCGGGAGCCGAAGUUGCCUCCGGGAGACUGCGGGGGGAGCGCGGAGGUUGCGGGGCUGCGGACCCCACCGUCGGCCCGGCCCGAGCCCCCCGCCCGGCCCGCAUCUCGUUUCUGCCCCCGUUAGCCGUAGAGAGGCCGGAAUGCUUCGCGCCGGGGCAAGGGGCGGCCCGACGGGGGCUGUUCGGAGCAGGUUUGUUAACCGAGCAGGUGCUCAAAACCAAUAAGCCACGAACAAACGCGGCCCCCGUCGGGAUUCGGAACAAUUGUUUCCAUUUAAUAAAUAUUUUCCCCACGGGCGUUUGGAGGGAGGCAGGCAAUUAUUCAAAGCGAGCCGGGACGCGGGCCGGCUCCCGGGGUUAAGCGGGGCUGCGGAGCGGGGGAAUUGGCAGCGGAGAGCGGCCUCGGCCCGGCGGAGCGCGGUGCUCUCAGCCCCGACGGCGGCGGAGGGGUCUCGGGACCCCGGCACCCCCGGUCCUCACAUCCCGGGGGUCCCGGUGCCUCCCCCCACCCCCGCUCGGCUCGCUGUUAGCGCGGCAACUCACAAAGCCUUCCCUUUAAUCUGCGCGCUGGUGGAGGAGGGGUGGGGGGGUCCUCCUUUCCCCUCCUUUCUUCCUCCUCCUCCGCCCUCCCCUGUCCCCUCCCCUCCUCUUCCUCUCGCCCUUCCUCUCUCCCUCUCUUUUUAAGCUGGUCCCCCUCCGCGCUGAUUGGGCGCCUAGCCGCGCUGUGAACGCCCUGCCACUAUGUCAGCCCGCUCGCCGCAGCCCCUCGCCUUUGAACUGCCCCGCGCCGCUCCGCGUCCCCACCGCCGGCCCGCAGCUGUGCCCGGCGGCUCGCCGCC